GAUGAACGCUGGCGGCGUGCCUAAUACAUGCAAGUCGAGCGAAUGGAUUAAGAGCUUGCUCUUAUGAAGUUAGCGGCGGACGGGUGAGUAACACGUGGGUAACCUGCCCAUAAGACUGGGAUAACUCCGGGAAACCGGGGCUAAUACCGGAUAACAUUUUGAACCGCAUGGUUCGAAAUUGAAAGGCGGCUUCGGCUGUCACUUAUGGAUGGACCCGCGUCGCAUUAGCUAGUUGGUGAGGUAACGGCUCACCAAGGCAACGAUGCGUAGCCGACCCGAAAGGGGGAGCGGCCACACUGGGACUGCGACACGGCCCAGACUCCUGCGGGAGGAAGCAGUAGGGAAUCUUCCGCAAUGGACGAAAGUCGGACGGAGCAACGCCGCGUGAGUGAUGAAGGCUUUCGGGUCGUAAAACUCUGUUGUUAGGGAAGAACAAGUGCUAGUUGAAUAAGCUGGCACCUUGACGGUACCUAACCAGAAAGCCACGGCUAACUACGUGCCAGCCGCCGCCGUAA
rnacentral:rRNA from 1 species